GGGUUCAGAACGUCGUGAGACAGUUCGGUCCCUAUCCGUCGCGGGCGUAGGAAAUUUGAGAGGAGCUGCCCUUAGUACGAGAGGACCGGGGUGGACGUACCUCUGGUGUAUCAGUUGUUCCGCCAGGAGCAUCGCUGAGUAGCUAUGUACGGAUGAGAUAAACGCUGAAAGCAUCUAAGUGUGAAACUCGCCUCGAGAUGAGAUUUCCCAUUCUUUAUGAAGUAAGACCCCUCAGAGAUGAUGAGGUAGAUAGGCUAGAAGUGGAAGUGCGGCGACGCAUGGAGCGGACUAGUACUAAUGGUUCGAGGACUUAACCAA
rnacentral:rRNA from 1 species